CAUUAAGAAGCUAUACGCCAGCGCUAGCCUUUUAAGCUAGAGAUAGAGGAUCGCCCGCCCCUCCUUAAUGA
rnacentral:tRNA from 2 species